rnacentral:lncRNA from 1 species
UCGCCGAAGUCCUUUUUGUCCCAGUCGGUAGGUCUCUAGAUGUUACAGAGAACCCCGAACAGCCCAAACUGCUAAUCUUUGAUACCGCUUUAUACUCACGAUCUUGUAUCCACUGACUGUCUCGUUAGAUUAACCCAAUAAAUUUCAUUCACUCCGCAUACUCAAUCCUAUAGACACCCUUUUAAUUCUUUAUCACAGACGUAACUCGAUUUCACAAAAUAGUCAAGAGUAAUCAAACCCACUUCAUUAAAAAUCCCGAUUCACCAUUACAACACUGACUUCAGCAACGAUUGCCUCAGUCUUCCCAAAUCCUAUG